rnacentral:Y_RNA from 1 species
GGCUGGCUAGUGCACUGGGUUUACACUAUAAUGAUCACAACCAGUUAUAGAUUUCUUUGAUCCUUCUCCACUCCCACUGCUUCUCUUGACUAGCCUUUA